CACGUAGUUAGCCGUCCCUUUCUGGUAAGAUACCGUCACAGUGUGAACUUUCCACUCUCACACCCGUUCUUCUCUUACAACAGAGCUUUACGAUCCGAAAACCUUCUUCACUCACGCGGCGUUGCUCGGUCAGGGUUCCCCCCAUUGCCGAAGAUUCCCUACUGCUGCCUCCCGUAGGAGUCUGGGCCGUGUCUCAGUCCCAGUGUGGCCGAUCACCCUCUCAGGUCGGCUAUGUAUCGUCGCCUUGGUGAGCCGUUACCUCACCAACUAGCUAAUACAACGCAGGUCCAUCUGGUAGUGAUGCAAUUGCAUCUUUCAAUUAAUUAUCAUGCAAUAAUCAAUUUUAUGCGGUAUUAGCUAUCGUUUCCAAUAGUUAUCCCCCGCUACCAGGCAGGUUACCUACGCGUUACUCACCCGUUCGCAACUCAUCCAAGAAGAGCAAGCUCCUCUCUUCAGCGUUCUACUUGCAUGUAUUAGGCACGCCGCCAGCGUUCGU
rnacentral:rRNA from 1 species